UGGCUCUGGCAUCGAUGAAGAACGCAGCGAAAUGCGAUAAGUAAUGUGAAUUGCAGAAUUCAGUGAAUCAUCGAAUCUUUGAACGCACAUUGCGCCCGCCAGUAUUCUGGCGGGCAUGCCUGUCCGAGCGUCAUUUCAACCCUCAAGCCCCCGGGCUUGGUGUUGGGGAUCGGCAUCACGGCCUCGCGAGAGGGCGCGCCGUCCCCUAAAUCUAGUGGCGGUCUCGCUGCGGACUCCAUUGCGUAGUAGCUAACACCUCGCAACUGGGACGCGGCGCGGCCAUGCCGUAAAACACCCAACUUUCUGAAUGUUGACCUCGGAUCAGGUAGGAAUACCCGCUGA
rnacentral:misc_RNA from 1 species